UUUUCUUUCCCUUCCUCAGUGACCUAAAUUUUUUUUUCCCCAAAUUAAAACUAAGGCAAUCUGUUUUGAGAGAGUGGGAAAUGAGAUCUCCGUGGUCAUGACCUGAGGAGGAAGAUGAGAGAGAGACUCGCAAUCUUUCAGAUCGGAGAAACGUUCGUCAGCUAGGAGCAUUUCGACAUUACCAGAGUUUCCUUCCUUCUUCUUCGAUGGUUAGCCUACGCUCCGCAAAAUUCACUCCGGCUCCGGAAAUGGUCAUCGACGUUGAAACGGAGAAAGAUGCCUCUGCUGAUUCACCCACUUCUGUUCUCAACGAGGAGGUUUGUUUUGUGUUAUACAUUUCUCCUUUGGUAUAAUAUUGUGUAAAAAGCUUAGAAAGAAAAAGUUUUCUGUAAAUGGGUUCAUUCAUCUCAAUGUAGCUACUUAGCACACGAACUCAUUGUUUGGUAUCAGGGACAAGAAGCUUCAAUGUUGCUUCCUUUCUCAUAUGCUGUGGUCUCGGGUGCUAUAGGAUCAUGUUCUGUUUUAUUUGCCAAGUCACUGUGAGAUGCUCUGUGACUUAAUUUAUUUCUUUCAUUGUCACAUCGGCUUAAUCUAUUUUGUCACAUAGCCAUUGGAGCAAUAUUCUCUGC